UAGAUCCGUCCAUUUAACAACACUAAAAAGCAACAAAUGUAGUCCAUUAGAUCUAGAUCCAUCUACAUCUCCCCAAGUGUCUGUAAUCUCUUGCGGUAGACAAACAAGACUACCUCUCUUUAUUCCCCAGUUCCAUACAAAUCACCAUGGUUAUGUGCGUUUGAAUUUCCAAUACAAUUUGCUACAAUCAUUCUUAAGAUAGGUCAAGUAAGAUAGGUCAUACUUUCGAAAUCGUGAUUCAGGUUGCUUGUGCUUUAUCUGAUAAACCAAAGGAGGACCUCUUUGUGUACAUAGAUAGAGGAGAUGAUGAUAAUCAGUUGGAAGCCGUGGAGUACGUCGAAGAAUUGUACAAAUAUUAGAAGCUCGCUGUGGUAGUUCUCUCUAGUUUUAGUCCAAAAAUCAUACUUUCUCUUUCGGUUCCCAUUUCUAUGUUAAAUAAUGAUUUCUUAAUUAGCAUCAAGUACUGCUGUAGUUAGUGUAUCACUGGAAGUCUUUCAUUAUAAAGUCGUAACAAAUAAAUUUACUCCAAGUCCCAACUUUAUCGUGUGUGUUUUCCCAUGGAAAGGUAUAAAUGUAAGGUCAUUUGACAGCUCUAGCUUUAGUAGCUGAUUUGUCACAGGCAUCUCGGAAACCUCGUUAUGUUUCACAAAAUCUUAGGGCUCCAGUGUAUUUACAUAAACCAUCAACAUCAUUGGUGGAAGAAGCAGACUGCAGUAUUCCUUCUCUACUUCCCUUGUUUCUAGCGAGGAGGUUUUGGCUGUUGCAAUUGGUAAGCAUGUUUAAAAAAUAGAUACAACUGGAGUUGGAAAGGGUCAAAAGAAUUCGGCAGAGGAACCUCUCAAGUGUUCUGUUGAAAAUUUCUGGAUGGUGUCCAAUUGUUCGGUAAACAUGAAACUGAUAAAUGUGCUGCUCGUGCAUUGAUGUCACUACUUAGUGGCCAGGGAGUGAAACUUGUCCGUCCUUUGCUCUUAAGGUGAAAAUUUUAGUGUCUAUACUCUUCUGUUGUUGUCGGGGUUGCUCUAUGUUUAAUAAUUUAUCUUUUGUAUGUUCCUUAAUUCUGGUCAAUGUACUUGUCUGUCUGUCUGUCUCCGUCUCA